CGUGACGCCCACGGGCGCCCUCCCCACGGACUCGUUCUCGGCAGCCGGCCCAGGCUGUGUUCUGUGCGCUCUGACCUUCUGAGUGGCGCCCAGGAGGACGUCAGUCCGCUUCGAACCUAGAAGCCCCUGUGAAACUUUAAGGGAAAGAGAGGAGUGGAGGCGGGAGGCCCAGAACCUACUAAAUAGCAAACUCUGCCCGGACCCCUUACCGGGGUCUCUCUGCGACACGUCGGCUGCCCCGCGCUUGCGCGCACAGUGCCUCUCCUGCCUGGAACGUGAGGCUCUGCCCAACACAAGAGUCAAGAUUAAGGAUGCUCAACCUGUACAAUGCCUACCACAAAAAAAUAUGUAUGUGGAGAAGAAACAAGGCUUGAUAUAUAUGGGCCAGACACUAAUCUGUGGAAAAUUAUUCUAAUCAUUAAGCUUGUAAAAAUACCAGGUAAGGAUUUGGUUUGCUCAUCAAUGCCUUAGCAGACACC
rnacentral:lncRNA from 1 species